GAGACUUCGGUGUCUGGCUACAUCUACCACAAGCUGCUGGGCCACGAGGUGGAGGACGUAAUCAUCAAGUGCCAGCUGCCCAAGCGCUUCACGGCGCAGGGCCUCCCUGACCUCAACCACUCCCAGGUUUAUGCCGUGAAGACUGUGCUGCAAAGACCGCUGAGCCUGAUCCAGGGUCCGCCAGGCACGGGGAAGACGGUGACGUCGGCCACCAUCGUCUACCACCUGGCCCGGCAAGGCAACGGGUAGGGCUGACACAGCCCCUGCGGGCAAGACCUGGGAGGGCUUUAGGGUAGCCAGAUAGAAGGCCUGCUGCUGGGAGCCUCGGGCUCUGUCACACCGAAGAGAGCACGUGGCGGGUAGUGUCGCUAUGGUGCCUACCGCUCUCUAUGUGACAUUAUUCGUGUCAGCUCCAGCCUUGGGAUUGCAUUUUAGUAACCAGAUCUGCUACUGGUUUAGAAAACUGGGGGCAGGGGGGGCAUGGCUGCAGCAGCAUGAGUUCCAUGUGCGGCACUUGAUAGCAUGGCGGGAGGGUGCAAGUUCCAGCCUUGGCAUUGCUUGCAGUGGGUAGAGCUGUGAAGGCUGGGCUGUUUGGAUCUGAGCUCCUUCAGUAUCGUGUCAUUACUGCCUGUUAAAAAUGACAGGAGUUUAAGGCCAGCCUGAACAGGGUGAGACGUCUCUAC
rnacentral:sRNA from 1 species